rnacentral:rRNA from 1 species
AUUGAACGCUGGCGGCAGGCUUAACACAUGCAAGUCGAGCGGAGAGAAGUAGCUUGCUACUGAUCUUAGCGGCGGACGGGUGAGUAAUGCUUAGGAAUCUGCCUAUUAGUGGGGGACAACAUUUCGAAAGGAAUGCUAAUACCGCAUACGUCCUACGGGAGUAAGCAGGGGAUCUUCGGACCUUGCGCUAAUAGAUGAGCCUAAGUCGGAUUAGCUAGUUGGUGGGGUAAAGGCCUACCAAGGAGACGAUCUGUAGCGGGUCUGAGAGGAAGGUCCGCCACACUGGGACUGAGACACGGCCCAGACUCCUACGGGAGGCAGCAGUGGGGAAUAUUGGACAAUGGGCGGAAGCCUGAUCCAGCCAUGCCGCGUGUGUGAAGAAGGCCUUAUGGUUGUAAAGCACUUUAAGCGAGGAGGAGGCUACUUUAGUUAAUACCUAGAGAUAGUGGACGUUACUCGCAGAAUAAGCACCGGCUAACUCUGUGCCAGCCGCCGCAGUAAUAC